UAAUAACGAAAAACAAAAGAAGAAAAAAAAGUCUAAUUUUCAUAAAAGUAUAUUUUCAAACUGACAGUUUAUAUACUAAGUUUUCCAUAAUUUUCUCUUAAACCUAACCUAACCUACAAAUGUGUAAACACAUGAAAGUCCCCAUAAGUUACAGACUAACAGAGGCAUUCUUUAUAUUCUUCCUCUGUGAAAGAGUAUCCUUUGUUUAGGAUCAAGGACCAACGUCCGAAGACUUCAAAAGUGAAUUCAUAGGGCUGAAGGAAUGUCAGGCCCAAGUGGGUCUAUGGUGUUCUGCAAAAUUUCGGCCUCGCCCGGAACUAUGCACAAGAAUCCUGUAUCGACGACAUAAAAUGGGACCCAGACAAAAAGAAGUCUCCUACCUACAUCAUAGGAAGGCAAGAAUACCUAACCUGAAAGAUCAUCCAUCACGUUACUGGCAUAUCAAGUGAAAUCAUUCCUAUGUAAUCUGAG